rnacentral:rRNA from 1 species
UACGAAGGGGGCUAGCGUUGCUCGGAAUCACUGGGCGUAAAGCGCAUGUAGGCGGAUCGUUAAGUCGGGGGUGAAAUCCUGGAGCUCAACUCCAGAACUGCCUUUGAUACUGGCGAUCUUGAGUCCGGGAGAGGUGAGUGGAACUCCGAGUGUAGAGGUGAAAUUCGUAGAUAUUCGGAAGAACACCCGUGGCGAAGGCGGCUACUCUGGGACGGUACUGGACGCUGAGACGCGAAAGCGUGGGGAGCAAACAGGAUU